UACGAAGGGGGCUAGCGUUGCUCGGAAUCACUGGGCGUAAAGCGCGCGUAGGCGGAUCUUUAAGUCAGGGGUGAAAUCCCGGGGCUCAACCCCGGAACUGCCUUUGAUACUGGGGAUCUUGAGUUCGAGAGAGGUUGGUGGAACUGCGAGUGUAGAGGUGAAAUUCGUAGAUAUUCGCAAGAACACCAGUGGCGAAGGCGGCCAACUGGCUCGACACUGACACUGAGGGACGAAAGCUAGGGGAGCGAAUGGG
rnacentral:rRNA from 1 species